UAGAGUUUGAUCCUGGCUCAGGAUGAACGCUGGCGGCGUGCCUAAUACAUGCAAGUCGAGCGAACAGAUAAGGAGCUUGCUCCUUUGAAGUUAGCGGCGGACGGGUGAGUAACACGUGGGUAACCUACCUAUAAGACUGGGAUAACUUCGGGAAACCGGAGCUAAUACCGGAUAACAUUUAGAACCGCAUGGUUCUAAAGUGAAAGAUGGUUUUGCUAUCACUUAUAGAUGGACCCGCGCCGUAUUAGCUAGUUGGUAAGGUAACGGCUUACCAAGGCGACGAUACGUAGCCGACCUGAGAGGGUGAUCGGCCACACUGGAACUGAGACACGGCCCAGACUCCUACGGGAGGCAGCAGUAGGGAAUCUUCCGCAAUGGACGCAAGUCUGACGGAGCAACGCCGCGUGAGUGAUGAAGGGUUUCGGCUCGUAAAACUCUGUUGUUAAGGAAGAACACUUGAGGUAGUAACUGGCCUUGAGAUGACGGUACUUAACCAGAAAGCCACGGCUAACUACGUG
rnacentral:rRNA from 1 species